UUCUUUACUGAAGUCUCUCAUAUAGUGGCAAUCAGACAUUAACUGAGGUUCAACUGGGCUGGACAUAUACAAAGGCUCACUCAUGUGUCUGACAGUUAAUAUGAACUGGCUGGAAAUACAAAGUUCCUUCACAUAGCCUCUUUAGCAUGGCAAAUUUCUCACCUGACAACUGGCUUCUCCCCAGAGUCUGAAAAGAACCAGGCUCAUGGACUUUUCUGACCUAUCCUUGGAAAUCAUUCAGCAUUACUUUUCAUUGUAUUCUGUUGGCUACAAAGCAAGCCACUAAGGCCAGCCCAGACUCAAGGAAAAGGAAUAUAGUCCUACCUCUCAAUGGGAACAAUGCCAAAUAAUGUGAAGGCAUGUUUUAAAAUUGCUGUAUAGAUAAUAUUUGAUUCAAGCAUCUUAAUUAGGUCUAUGUACCUAUCUGUUCUGUGGCCUUUGGGACAGCCAGACUGGUGGUACAGUUAGAGGCUGCCAUUGCAUCAAGAUACUUUUCCACAUAACAUUUACCCUCUUGGAAUCCAGCUGCCAUAUAAAAAUUUGAAAUAGCCUGCUGGAAAGACCACUUGGAGGAGGAGGUCCCAUACAACAUCUUCCAGUAACUGCCAGGUAUAUGCACGAGAUCAUCUUGAACCAUCCAUCUCCAAUCAAGCCUCAAAUGACAACAUGACAAAGUAAUUGAAAGCAUUAACUCUAGACACAGGCUGCCCGGAUAGGGGUCCUUACACUAUCAUUUAUUAAUUGUCCAACAUUGGGCCAAUAAAUCAUUAUUUCUGUGAUUGCUCAGCUGUUUGAUAGGGAUAAGGACACAUUGCUCAGUUUACUAAUCUGUUAAAUGGAGAUUGGGGCAUCUGCUUUAUAGGCUUAUAGUGAAGGCAAUGAGUAAAACUUUCCAAAUAGCACCUGACACAUAGUAAGUGCUCAAUAAAUAUCAACAAUCAUUAUAUAAUUCCCAUAGACCUCUCAAACCUCUAGGAUUAUAUGUUUCACCCCUAAUUUGAGAAAUACUUACCUAACUAUUGGAUAUGGACUGAAUCCUCUAUCCACUUCUUCUGAACACCUAAAUACUCUAAGUAAGAAUAAAGGAAGGAAAUGGGAAGGAGGAGGAUUUGAGGUUCUUUUAUGGUACUGUGGAGAAGUAUAGGAUAAGGCAGGUCUAGAUGUGGAUGGCAAGAGGAGGUUCUGACUAAAUGUGAAGGUGCUGAAAAGGCAUGCUAGCAGACUGGAGAAGUUUCCAGAAAUGGAAGAGGGAGGGCCUAGAAGGUGAACUUGGCCUGGGUUCAGACCCAAUGCGCUUUUCACAUUUAAAGAUGACAGCAUCAUGCUUUAGUAAUAGUCACUUGAGGAGGACCUCAUGAACAAUUGCUGCUGAAUAAUGGUCACAUGAUAGGCUGCAGCACAGCAUCACUCUGCAGAUCCCUGGCAUCCCUGCUGCUGGACACAAGGCUACUUACUGUCUAUCACUUAUGAUGCUAUGCACCAGGCUAUUGCUGCCCACUGUAAAACUCUUAAAACUGUUACUUUACUUAGUGGAAUCUUUCAUCACUUCUGAACUUUCAGCUUCUUCAUUACACCUCUCAGUAAGUUCUUGCCCCACUAUGUCUGGCCCAGAAGGCCCCUAACCCAUUUGAGUUGUGGUGAAUAAAUCGCUGCUUCACAAUGAAAAUGAUGAAAUUUUAUUAUAGAAAUUAAAGAAGAUUUUGAUAACUGGAAGGAAAUAGUUUGGAAAACUCAAUAGUAUGUCAAUUCUCCCCAGAUAUAUUAGUCAGUGUUCUCCUGAGAAACAGAACAGGAUAUAUAGAAAGAUGUACUGUGAGGGAUUGACUGAGGCUGGCUUUAAACUUGCAAUCCUCCUGCCUCAGCCUCCAGAGCCACUGGGAUUACAGUGAUUUAUGGAGGCUGAGAAGUCCCACUCUCUGUGGUUUGCAAGCUGGAAGCCCUCAAAAACUAUUGACAAUGUUCCAAGCCCAAGUCCAAAGUUCCUGAGAAUCAGGAAUGAUGUGCCCAAUAAGGCUGACACAUUAAAAUUAGCCAUCAUUCCAAAAAAUCUAUAAAGUCAGGGCAAUAACAAUCAAAGCAGCUGGGUUUGUGUGUUUCUGUGUGCAUGUAAAUUGUCAAACUAAUACUAAAAUUCAUAUUGAGAUGCCAAUGGAUGAAGCACAUCAGAAAGAGCACAGAUCCCUGAGUUCAAAUCCUAACUCUAACCUCUACUAGCUGUAUCAAUUUGGUUGCGUUUUUUUCGGGGGGUGGUAAUUACCAGGGACUGAACUUGAGGCACUCAACCACUGAGCCACAUCCCCAUCCCAUUUUGUAUUUUAUUUAGAGACAAUGUCUCACUGAGUUGCUUAGUGUGUUUGCUAUUGCUGAGGCUGGCUUUAAACUUGCAAUCCUCCUGCCUCAGCCUCCAGAGC
rnacentral:lncRNA from 1 species